AGGUAGAUACAGUUGGCUUAUAAUUGAAGUCUAGUAUGAACGAAAUGACGGGUAUUAGCUGUCUCAGCAAUAAUUUUAUAAAUUUAGUAAGUAAUUGCAAAGACUUACAGUAGUAUAUUAGACGAGAAGACCCUAGAAAUUUUAAUAAAUAGUUUUUGUUGGGGCGACAGAGUUACAAGUAACUAACUCUAUAUUACAUGUUGUGUUAAAGGAUGAUUAAAUUACUCUAGGGAUAACAGCAUAAUUUAUAAUAGUUAUGGACCUCGAUGUUGGACUAGGUAAAGUGUUUUUUAGAAGAAAACUUUUCAUGCUCUGUUCGAGCAGAAAAACCUGACAUAC
rnacentral:rRNA from 1 species